rnacentral:rRNA from 1 species
ACGGAAGGCAGCAGUGGGGAAUUUUGCGCAAUGGGGGGAACCCUGACGCAGCAACGCCGCGUGCGGGAUGAAGGCCUUCGGGUUGUAAACCGCUUUCAGCAGGGACGAUUAUGACGGUACCUGCAGAAGAAGCUCCGGCUAACUACGUGCCAGCAGCCGCGGUAAUACGUAGGGAGCGAGCGUUAUCCGGAUUCAUUGGGCGUAAAGCGCGCGUAGGCGGCUUGCUAAGCGGAACCUCUAAUCCGAGGGCUCAACCCCCGGCCGGGUUCCGAACUGGCAGGCUCGAGCGCGGUAGGGGCAAGUGGAAUUCCAUGUGUAGCGGUGGAAUGCGCAGAUAUAUGGAAGAACACCGAUGGCGAAGGCAGCUUGCUGGGCCGACACUGACGCUGAGGUGCGAAAGCGUGGGGAGCGAACAGGAUUAGAUACCCUGGUA